CUUGGCUCUGUCCACCAGGGCUGGCUCGGCAAGUGUGGGGGCGAACCAGAAGUGCCAGGGGGUUCACGUUUUCUGGGAGCAUCCCUCAACGGAUGACUGACGGGAGUUCUUGCUCUGGAAGAUAAAUACCCAGCUCCCUUGCCUCCAGGACAACUCGGAGCACGUACCUCCCUUUUCGUGAUACAGUAUGGCUGCUAUAGCACCUGCCAUAACAUCUGCAUUCUAACCAUGGAGACCUUAUAAAGGGGAAAUGAAAGGUUAAGCACCAAAGCAAGAGCGCCUGGGGUGGCUCAGUCGGUUAAGCGUCUGAAUUCGGCUCAGGUCAUGAUCUCAUGGCUGGAUGCAGAAGUGAUGCCGCACGAUUUCUGGGUCCGGGCGGUGAGAUGAUCCCACAUAUUCUCUUGGGCCCCUGCCUCGGCCAGAGAACAAGCUCAGACAGCUUGCUGUGGGUAAGAGAAUUUGUGGAGGAGGACUUUCCCGGCGAGGACCUUCCAGAUGAGCUGGUCCCCACCUGACCUGCCUGCUGACCGUAGAUUCAUGAACACACCCAGCCUAGAUCAGCUCAACUUGGCCCAGACCGAAAGAACUGCCCACCUGACCACAGACUCAUGAGAAAUAAUAAAUUGUUAUUUUAAAUCACUA